rnacentral:misc_RNA from 1 species
UACUUCGCCUGCUUGCUGCAUG